GACGUCGAAUAUCGACGUCAUAAACAGCAAAGUUGAUCGUGUUUAUGACGUCGACGUCAUAAACACCAAAGUUGAUCGUGGUUAUUAGGUCGACGUCAUAAACACCAAAGUUGAUCGUGUUUACGACGUAGAAUUUCGACGUCAUACACACCUAAGUUGAUCGUGUCUAUGACGCCGAAUAUCGACGUCAUAAACACCAAAGUUGAUCGUGUUUAUGACGUCGACGUCAUAAACACCAAAGUUGAUCGCGUUUAUGACGUCGAAUAUCGACGUC
rnacentral:miRNA from 1 species